AAGUCAGUAGGAGUGGUACCUCCUGUCCGGUUUGCAGCUGUGUUGUGUGCGCCGGGGUUACCGGUGUUACCUCCAGUUUCCGGAAGACGGUCAGCAGCAGACUCCGGCGGCGAACGGCGGGAGAGUCGGGACGAGACGUGGAUGUGAGCUGGAUCCGGUGAACGGCAGCGAACCUGGCGUACAACGGACUGAAAGCACGCGGUGCCAGGGGUUGACACGAGCUAGCGACACAGGGACGGUGUAAACCUCCUCUUCGGCGCGACUACCACAGGUCCGUCCACCUCCUCCACGUCCUCGUCUCUUCCUGUUCCACACCUCUGCAGGCCAACCGCUGAGGAGCAUCCUUUACGUGACAGCAGGGGAGAUCGGAGGUGUAGAGCACAAGUCACACAGAUGGUCACGUGUGUGUACAUGUUGGAGUACAUAUUCACUUUGUGUAGACGGAUCCUCGAAGGAGCGCAGCUGAGAGUCGAGGGAGACGGGAGAUGACAGCGGUGAAGGUGACCUGUCUGCCACAGUCGGUCCGCCCUCACAUCAGCAUCUAAUGCGCCGCACUGGAAGGAAUUCAGCGGGAAUUAUAGUUCCGCCGGACGCUAUUUACUGUUAUAACUACAGAGAGAGUCAUUGAGGAGGAUUAAGCCACAGGUCAUCUCAUAUCUGACUGCCAAUUGUCCCUUUUCAAGUAAUCAGGGCCGCAGGACUUUUAGUGCAUCCGCGGGGUUGUCGGAACGAUCGGGGAAAUGAGCUCUCCACCGGGAGAAUUCACGCGAACGCCACCUCGGGUCGGAGCAACAACUCAGGCAGUCGCCAGAGGGGUUCGGUGCACGAGUUGCAGAUGUCAUGCACAGAAACAUAAGCAGAGGAACCAGAGUGUUUGGUUGAUGCGUCAAAACUUUUGAUUAAUGGUGUCAAUUAACGUGUUGCAUGUAACUUUUUUUUUCGAAAGUUGUAGU